UUCGCUCAUUCGUACAUGGAUUUAGUUUUGAAAGUAGUGAAACGAAUAGUUUACAACAAAAUAAUAAUCCGCUUCUUGAUAUAUGAGCCACAAGUCAAAUAAAUGUGUGCUGCAGUAGUGAGGGAACGAAACGCGAAGAAUAAGUGCAUAAAAACAUCGGACAUAUCCGCUUGUUCGAAUAAUUUUUGUUUUUGUUACAUUGAUUUUGUAACAUAUUGAUCAAGCUAUUUGAGUGGUCAGAUUCGUAUUCUUAAAUCAUGGAUGAGACGGUAAUGUUUAUUCUUCUUGUAAUACUAGUUGGUUCCUAUAUAGCUGGAAGUAUACAGUUAAUCGUGAUGCUGUCGGAGGAAAAACUAAAAAGUUAAAGGGUAUGUGCUUGAGUGCACAAACGUAGGCUUGACGUGGGACUACUGUGGGUGUAAGGAUUUAAUUCUGCCAUAGCCAUAGUAUAUAACACACACCAAACGUACAAAUACCAAACACAACAAUCCAUGAACACUUCACAAAAAAACACAUACUCCUGUCAUAAACCAUAGCAUACAAACUAAUAGGAAAAAUAAUUAACUUGUUGCCUGUAAAUGUAUUCUGUCAUAAAUAAAUUUACCUCAGAUGAAUGCAUUUUUGCACACACAUACACAUUAUACACACACACGCUAUAUACACACUACUCACAAGCACACGCUCCUCAGACACACCCACGCUACUUACACACGUACACAUACACACACACACCACUUACAUACACACGCCGCUUACACACAUACACGCCACUCACACAUACACACGUCACUCACACACACGUUACUCACACACACAUACAUACUCAAACACACACACAUACACACAUACACACACACAUACACAUACACACAUACACACACACACACAUACACACAUACACACACACACACACAUACAUACACACACAUACUGGUGGGGUCCAACUCAGAUCGAAGGGAAGCCGAACUGUUCGCUUUGACGGUCGACCAGGGAAUGAGCUUCUCUCAACACGAAAUGUCCUUUUAUAGUGUCACUCAGUGUGGGGAAAUUGGGUGAUUGGAGGAAGAACCAAUCACGUGGAAGCAUCUCUGCUUUCUGUUCUCGUCGUUUACGUUGGGUGAUGAGUGCGAUGCCGAUUGGCUGGCAUUGCUAGCCAAUGACUGAAUGCGUGAAAUCAUUUCAUCUAUGUUUCUGAAGUCUGCGUUAGGGAAAUAUACCAAUCGUAUGAAAAAUGAAUGUGGAUAUUCGACCUUCAAACUUUCCCGCAAUUUUCACGGACUUUCCAACGGUAUAUUAACUAUUAAAAUCGGAAUAGUUGUUGGAGCGCUAUUAACAUCUAAAAUCUUCCAUUCCGCCAACCAAAAACGUUACAUGUUCAUUCCAGUUUUCCCAGAAUGUACCUUAGUAUAGUGAAGAAAGACGUAGUCCCACGUCAAAAAUGUGUCUAUUUUUGGUGCUAGGUUGUUGGUAGGAACGGCCCUUACAGUCAUGAUCUCAGAAGGAAUUCGUUCAUUGUACGAUGGAAGCAAUCUUGAAGUUGAACACUGAACAAUAAACACAGCGCUGAUGAGCAUUUUUCUACAAUUGUGCUGGGCUUUGUCUCCAUGAUUGUUGUCGAUCAGAUCUCAUCGCGGCGCAAGGAAGGAUGAUGCGUAAAUUAUCAGACACAAUCUGGUUAACCACAGUUCCACACAACUGUUAACAGAAUUGUAGCUUUUAUUACGCGAAGCAAUGCGGAAGAUACGGAAACAAAAUAAAAUAUUAAUAAUUAGGUAACUUAAUGGGAAAUAAAUCUAUAACAUUUUAACGAUUUUUCUUAUGUUGUUUUCAAAUUUUAAUUUCCGAAAUUCUUAUUGUAUUCUUUUGCGUAGGAACGUCAAAUUAACGAAACUGAGUAACAGUUACUCAGUUUGGCUAAUUAAUGCUGUAUUUCAAAUGAGUAGGUAGUAGAGAUGGUCGGGUAUGGGAAAUUUGUUACCCGUACCCGACCCGUACCCGACUCAACGAAAAUUUUCAAACCCGUACCCGACCCGAACCCGAAGUCUGGUUUGUUUGAAAUACCCGUACCCGACCCGAACCCGAAAAAUAUCUGUUCCAACUACCCGUACCCGAUAGAAAAAAACGCCGAAAUUGCCGGUACCUGACCCGUCCUGGAUUUUUUUUUUAAUUUUUUAUUUCAAAAUGCCUGGGUACCUCGCACAUUUUAUGCACUGAUUGUCAUAUGUGGACUCUAGAGAUGAUGGCCGGAGUUAGGCUAGAACCGAGUGUGCGUGUGAACGAAUGAUAAUGAACCCAGAGUUCCAGGCGGGUGGUCGACUAUAAGGAAUCGGUCCACUAUAAAAAGUGCAUGUCUAGUAAAGCUUAAAAUAAACGACGAGUUUUAUAAACUCAUUAAAGGGUCAAACGAAUUUUGAAAGGUCAAAAUUAAUAUAGUUUAUAACUUGAGAAAAAUUCGAUAAUUCACUGCAUUUGCCAAAAACCUGUAAUUUUGAGUAUAGAUUCGGUGUCAUCGAUAAAUUCUAAAAAUCGGUAAAAAACAGAUAUUUAUGCACAUGCGGCAUCCUUGGUCACAGUACAAACCAAAACUAUGCUAUCGCUGUCAAAUCUCAUAUAUUUGUUUCGUACUAAACAUCUCAAUGCACAGUGGGGAAGCGCUGACCAUCAAAACAAAUGUUUAAACGUCAGCUGUUUCAUAAUAUUUUUCCAUUAUUGAUUUUACAUUAAGGUGCUUAAGUCCAAAAUUUGGGUGCAAUAUCAGAAAAUUUGUUUUUUUCUUUUAUAACAAUUCAAAGCUCGGCAUACUGACGUUUUUUGACAUAUUUAAAAAAAAUAUAUCAUUUCUUUGAAACGCUCUGCAGCUUCAAUGAUAGCUUGGUUUUUUUGGCCUCGAAGAAAAAGUUGAUUUGUAGUUAUUUUUUAUUACCUAUUAUAAUAUAUAAUAUUGUUUUAAUUUUUAUAAAAACAAAUUUUUUUUGCGAAAUUUGGUUGAUUUGAGGAGUUGUGCAAAAGCUACGUAAUCUGUUUUUGUAAAGAGGGCGCCCUGUGGCGUUGCUUGUGGUUAAAGAUCAUAUAAUUCUGUUUAAUAAAUAAAGUGAGGGGAAAAGUGUUAAAAAAUCAUGAGAAAUUAAGUCACGUGCUUUGUGAACGUCCCCAAAUAAAAAGUGGAAUGGAGAUUCGUGUUCAGCACCCCAAAAUUAAGUAAAUACCAUAUUUUUGUCGUACUUAUCGACACUUUUUUUGCUUGACAAGCAUUUGUGUUAAGUCGCCCCACUGGGCAAUGCUCCGCGGUUUUCCUGACAGUUAUGAAAAAAGCCCGACUCCACCCAGGACCCUAACUCACGACCCGUUGAUUAACGGACCGGCGCCAACGGCUUUACUUCCUCAUGCGAUGGAAGGCGUGAUCCCAGAGAUUUUUCGCCUCAGAAAAUCUCCCGGUGUCGUCUAGGAUUGAAUCUAGACCAGUUUGGUUGGUUGUGGGUGGAUCACGCCACCUCAUAACCAUCGACACCGGUACAAGUAUCAUGUAGACAAAGCCCAGCACUAGGGAGAGCACAAAUGUGGAUAAAUCGGCGCUGUGUUUAUUGUUCGGUGUUAGAGAGGUGCCCAUGUAUUUAACUUCAAGAUUGCUUCCAUCCGAGCUUCCAUUGUACAAGGAACGAAUUCCUUCUGGUAUUAUGACUGUAAGGGUUGUUCCCACCAACAACCUAGCACCAAACAUAUACACAUUUUUAGUUUUUCCUCUAACAGCAUCACGAUUAAAAGUAUACUUCCUGCUAUACAGGAACCAACUAGUAUUACAAGAAGAUUUAGCAUUACCGUCUCAUCCAUGAUUUAAGAAUAUGGAUCUGACCACUCAAAUAGCUUGAUCAAUAUGUUACAAAAUCAAUGUAACAAAAACAAGUUAUUCGAACAAGCGGACGUGUCCGAUGUUUUUAUGCACUCAUUCUUCGCGUUUCGUUCCCUCACAACUGCAGCACACACUUAUUUGACUUGUGGCUCAUAUAUCAAAGAGCGGAUUAUUAUUUUGUUGUAAACUAUUCGUUGCUGUACUUUCAAAACUAAAUCCAUGUACGAAUAAGCGAAACAAACAGGGAACUGUUAAAUGCUUAGCUUUUGUUUACAGCAAACUGAUAUAAAACGAACGGUUACCCAAAAGUGAGCAAAACAAAAAAAUACGAAAACUGGGUGAAAGUUACUCAGUUUCGUUAAUCAAUAUUACUCAAUUUUUGACAUGUUGAAUCAAACUACGAAAGUGAGUACUUUCUAACCAAUUUAGAGUAAAAUUGAACGAGCGUGCACAUCUGUUCAACUGAAGAACCAAAAAUGAGACAAAAUCUUUUUAUUUAAAGUAUCGACAUCUAGCGGUGGAGAGAACGCAUUUUACACUCGAAAUUUUAUUACGCUUAUAUUCCAUUCAUUCAUUCAUUCAUUCAUGGCUACUGAUUCAAAAGGCGAACUGAUGGAGAAAGGAAAAAUUAAAUUAAAUAACGUAGAGUCCAAUUCAAGGUUUAAGCUGUCCCUGAGGCAUCUAACCGUUAGAGGAACCGAAAAGCAAAACGUGAGACUAGCUGCAGAGCUCCUCAGUCAUACGACUGCUGUGAAUCUUCACCGACAUUUCGGCGAAUAUCAAGAAGCCAUGCUACUCGCUGAAAUUAACGAAAUCAUCGAUAGGUGGUUUGAUUUGAUGAUUUCCCACCAACUGUACCAAGGUACAUCGAGCAAGUCAGCCUACGGCACAGAUUUGGCUUUACAGAAUAAAACUCUGGAUGAUAUGAUCUCAUUGAUGCAAAAUAUAAGGACUUUAUCGAAAUACUGUUUGCCAGCAGCAACGUCUCUCCAGCGCUCAACCGUUUACGCCUAGCAAUUUUGGGUAAAAAUCUACAACAUCACCUUAAGAGGAACCAAAAUAUGGAAAACGUGUCAAUGGAAGAAGGCUUUUUACUUACUAGCUUGUUCCGGAAAGCGGAUACUGCGAAAAGGGUUGAAGAAACUGACAAUGAAGAGAAUACCACCAUAGAGGUAACAAAACACAGAACACUUGCGGAAACUGAUGGAAUGGAAUACGCACAUGGGUAUAUAGCGCGAAAUCUGCUAGCCGAAUUUCCAGAGUUAGCUAAUAAAACUCGUUUAGUUGAAGAUCCAUUUGAGCAAGGUAUGAAUAAAGAAAACUACAUUCAAGACGUUUCUUUCGGAGGACUCCUCAAGUCUUCAGAUUGCUGGAGCACUAUGGCGAAUCAGAUGGACUCCUGCUUAUACCCCUUCAACCGCCGCGAUGGAAUGAAUUCUUAAUAUUGAUGAUUGACAACACUAUAACAGAAGCGCAAAUCUUUCAAGUUUGUCCUAGUUGUAAGACGUUAUUUAUUGUAGAGUUGUAAAUAAACUAAUUUAACAUGUAGUGAAAAUACUCGAAGCAUUCCGUGCAAAUAA